CCGUCUUGAAACACGGACCAAGGAGUCUAGCAUGUGCGCGAGUCAUUGGGAGACAAUAGACCCAGAGGCGCAAUGAAAGUGAAAGCGUCGCCCCCCUCGGGGGACGGUCGCGCAGGGAAGAUGCGCGGGCGGCGUCAGCCGCCCCGCCGCAUUCCCGAGGCGUUUCGAGAAAGCCACCGCGCGAUUAUCGAGACGCACUGAGAGCGUACACGCUGGGACCCGAAAGAUGGUGAACUAUGCCUGGUCAGGUCGAAGUCAGGGGA
rnacentral:rRNA from 1 species